rnacentral:tRNA from 1 species
GGCGAGGUAGCUCAAUGGCAGAGCAGCGGACUCAUAAGCCGUUGGUUGUGAGUUCAAGUCUCACCCUCGCCA